AAAUAGAUAAUCUGCAAUACACAUGCUGAAUUGCUAAUAAGCUUUUAGCAGUUACACAUUGCUCAUUUAUCUGCAAUACACAUGCCUUCUUUCCCAUGUAAAUUCUAAACUUUGCUCACUACUCUUUCUUUUCAGCAAAAAUCUGGAAUAAUGGAGAAGAAGAAUAAGAUAGUAGAAGAGUGACAGAUUGCUGCAACCACUUAGCUCACGAGAUGACCAUCUAUCUGCACUUGUCUUUCCCUUUGUCCUGCUAAUUUAGUAUCAGGUACUGAAAAUUAUCGUAUUUGGUUGAGAUCUAAACUAGGCAUAAGGUUAGUUUUUUACGUUUCUUAAUCCAAGUAAUUUCAUAAUCCAAGUAAUCUCUGUAUUGAUCAGACAAGAUAUGCAUUCUCAGGGUAGCAAUCACUAAUGUUGAUCUGCACAUCUUUCCAUUGCAAUAUGUGAUAUUUAGCCCAAGUAAUAUUUCAAUGACUUGACUCCAUCUAGAGAUGUUCGGUAAAGCAAAGAAAAUAAUUCCACAUGAAUAUAUCCUUAGUUACUUGUUAAACAAUGUUGAAAUUACACCAUCCGGUCACAAAUAUAAGUAGUUUUAGGAUUGUCCAAUGUCAAACUUUUUUAGCUUUGAUCAUCAAUACCUAAAAAUGCAAAUAGCUUGCAACAUAAGGUAUUAAGGUUGAUGCUGUUAGAUUCAUUAUGGCCUAAAUUAUAGUUCCAGCAUGUGCUUUUGCAAUUGACUCAGCUAUCUUGAGUACUUGACUAUACAAACUGUCUAGAAAUGUUGUUGUAGACUUUAGAAUGUAGCAUGACUAAUAUAAAGCUACAACUUGCAAACAACACCUGAAGUUUUUUUUAGAAUGUAGCAUGUGCACCUUGUGAGAAUAUAUGCAACAGCCAGGACAGUUGAUAAUGAUCUCACGAAAGUUAUCAGGCGUGUUUUCACAGCUUGGCUUGCUGCUGUAGGCAACACAACUGGAUCCAAACCCCUGUUAUACAUUGCAUGGACAAAGAGAAAGAUCAAAAUUACUCUAGACAAUUGUUCUCCAAUAUCCUGAUUAACUGACUUUGCAGUCAUGCAAAAAUAGAAGGAUCAAAAUUACUGUAUGUUUGCUCUACCGCGUCAGUGUAAUCAUGGAUGUUGGGAACAUCCUCCGCAUUCAGGAACUUAAUAAAUAAUUAAUGGUACAAGGGGAACUACCUAGUCAGUGCUACUGAUGCGCUCUUGACUAGAGGAUUUUCCUGCAAAGGAA